CUUUCAGCCACCCUCGCUCCCUCUCUUGGCCUCGUGUUCCAACUUCCAUCCGUGACGUGUGCUGACCUGUCCCCCCUCCAUUCAGUGACCAAGGAGGUGAGCCAGGAGAGGAGAGCAGGCAGCCCAUGGACAAUGAAGAGACAUGCGCUGACAACCCUCUGCUGAAUGGAGAUGCCAGUGGCCAAGGAGAGGAAGGUGUUCUAGGAAUGGAGGAUGAAAAGCUGUCAGACAAUGACCGAGCAGACACUGAAAUCUGUCAGAAGACACAUGCUGAUUCCCAUCCACUGAAUGUACCCAAGGUU